UAGGGAAUAUUGCACAAUGGGCGAAAGCCUGAUGCAGCAACGCCGCGUGCGCGAUGAAGGCCUUCGGGUUGUAAAGCGCUUUUCGGGGAGAUGAGGAAGGACAGUAUCCCCGGAAUAAGGCUCGGCUAACUACGUGCCAGCAGCCGCGGUAAAACGUAGGAGCCAAGCGUUAUCCGAAUUCACUGGGCGUAAAGCGUGUGCAGGCGGUCUGAUAAGUUGGAUGUGAAAUCUCCUGGCUCAACUGGGAGAGGCCGUUCAAUACUGUGAGACUAGAGGGCAACAGAGGGAGGUGGAAUUCCCGGUGUAGUGGUGAAAUGCGUAGAUAUCGGGAGGAACACCAGUGGCGAAAGCGGCCUCCUGGGUUGUACCUGACGCUCAGACACGAAAGCUAGGGGAGCGAACG
rnacentral:rRNA from 1 species